UUAAAGUUGUUGCAGUUAAAAAAGCUCGUAGUUGAAACUUGGGCCUGGCUGGCGGGUCCGCCUCACCGCGUGCACUCGUCCGGCCGGGCCUUCCUUCUGAAGAACCUCAUGCCCUUCACUGGGCGUGCUGGGGAAUCAGGACUUUUACUUUGAAAAAAUUAGAGUGUUCAAAGCAGGCCUUUGCUCGAAUACGUUAGCAUGGAAUAAUAAAAUAGGGCGUGCGUUUCUAUUUUGUUGGUUUCUAGAGACGCCGCAAUGAUUAACAGGAACAGUCGGGGGCAUCAGUAUUCAGUUGUCAGAGGUGAAAUUCUUGGAUUUACUGAAGACUAACUACUGCGAAAGCAUUUGCCAAGGAUGUUUUCAUUAAUCAGUGAACGAAAGUUAGGGGAUCGAAGACGAUCAGAUACCGUCGUAGUCUUAACCGUAAACUAUGCCGACUAGGGAUCGGGCGAUGUUCUUUUUCUGACUCGCUCGGCACCUUACGAGAAAUCAAAGUUUUUGGGUUCUGGGGGGAUUAUGGUCGCAAGGCUGAAACUUAAAGAAAUUGACGGAAGGUCACCACCAGGCGUGGAGCCUGCGGCUUAAUUUGACUCAACACGGGGAAACUCACCAGGUCCAGAUGAAAUAAGGAUUGACAGAUUGAGAGCUCUUUCUUGAUUUUUCAGGUGGUGGUGCAUGGCCGUUCUUAGUUCGUGGGGUGACUUGUCUGCUUAAUUGCGAUAACGAGCGAGACCUUACUCUGCUAAAUAGCCAGGCUAACUUUGGUUGGUCGCCGGCUUCUUAGAGAGACUAUCAACUCAAGUUGAUGGAAGUUUGAGGCAAUAACAGGUCUGUGAUGCCCUUAGAUGUUCUGGGCCGCACGCGCGCUACACUGACAGAGCCAACGAGUUCUUUUCCUUGUUCGAAAGAAUUGGGUAAUCUUGUUAAACUCUGUCGUGCUGGGGAUAAAGCAUUGCAAUUAUUGCUUUUCAACGAGGAAUGCCUAGUAAGCGCGUGUCAUCAGCAUGCGUUGAUUACGUCCCUGACCUUUGUACACACCGCCCGUCGCUACUACCGAUUGAAUGGCUCAGUGAGGCCUUCGGACUGGCUCGAGGAGGUUGGCAACGACCACCUCAAGCCGGAAAGUUCGUCAAACUCGGUCAUUUAGAGGAAGUAAAAGUCGUAACAAGGUCUCCGUAGGUGAACCUGCGGAGG
rnacentral:rRNA from 1 species